rnacentral:lncRNA from 1 species
UUGAGGUAGUCAACUUACAAAGAAAAAGUUCACUUUGAUGCAAGUGUAGGGGUGUGAUUGGCUGGCUUCCUAACUUCCUAAAGGUGUUGUUCUUUCCAGGCCCAGGAAGCCAGAGAGCAGUUAAGGACAGAAACAGGGUUCCAUGUAACCAGUGACUGAAGACCUGUGACUGGUACCCACCUCUUAGAACUUCUGCCAUUUCCAAAUAUCACCUCCCUGGAUAUCAGCUGUCUAAUACAUUGGUUUUGUGCUGACGUUUAAAAUCCAAAUUAUAGCCGUGCAGUGGUAGCUCACACCUUUAAUCCCAGCACUCGGGAGGUAGAGGCAGGCAGAUCUCUAAGUUCGAGGCCAGCCUGGUUUACAGAGUGAGUUCCAGGACAGCCAGGAACUCUGGCUUUCCAGAAACCCUGUCUCAAAACAAACAAAUAAACAAACAAUCCAAAUCAUAUAAAGGAGACAAAGAUCUUUUAGUAAGCGAUACAUUAGCUGGUUGUAGGACUGAGACCCAGCUGUGCUGGUCUCCUCAGCCAAGUCAUGUUGCUUUGAGGCAAGGACAGAAGAGCACUGUGGUAGUCUGGCUUGGCAGGAACAUGGCUGACUGCUGAGGGAGAUCAGGAGAGCUGCAUCACCGCUUUGUGUGCGCUGAUGACAUGUCAAAGUGGCGUCCUCUUAUAGCUAGAAUAACAGUAAUUAAUAACUAACAUCCUGGGUGCACACACCAAUGCACAGCCUCCUGGGGAAAGACAGUGUUAUCUUUGCAAGAAAGUGAGGCUCAGAAAUAUUAAUUAAAUGAUUUCCCCGAGUCACGUAGUAGUUAUCAGCCUCCACUCGAAGCACCUUCGUACCGUGUGUUAUGAAUUCAUGUGCUUGGCUGUCUUGUUUCCACACACUGUCAUGCAUGUAAAGUCAGAGCCCGUGGUAGGAUCCAUUAAGUGAAGAAUGCACAUCACCCAUGUGCAUGAGGGGAAUAAAGUCCACUGAACUAGAAGCUUCCAGAGUCUGAUGAAAUACUCCUACUUGCUUUGAUAAUUGUCCAGACCUAUGCUUGAGAGAACACGGAGAGAAAGAAAGACUGCACUAUCCCAAAGCCCUUCCAAAACAUAGCUGAUCUGUGUUGGCUGAAUUCACACACUUGGUCCCUCCCUCACUGAUGCGGGGUGUCUUCAAGCUGGAUUCACAGACUGCUAGUCCCCUACCUUGCAGACUCAGGGUGUCUUCAGGUGGGAAGCGCUUAUGGUGGUUGCCUUGUUGAACCUCCCAACUCUUCAAAACUGUGACUUAGCUGAGAGGCUCCAAGAACAUGUUCUUGAAUGUGAGAGACUCGGAGAUUUUUUUUUUAAAUGUCACUUUUUCUACGCCUGAAGCUUUGAGGGAGGAGCAGAUGUGAAUACUUGGAUUCCUAUUCGACAGUCACAAUGAACACGUUUGAAGGGGAUGCCAGACAAACGGACAAGGGUGGGCCCAACGAUAAACUGGUAAGCCGAGUGAGCAUGCACAAUUGUGUGUGAUGGGAACAGGUGGGCAAGCUGCAGGCCACUGAAUAGAAAGGCCACUGAAGGCUUGCAUGUCUGUGCAGAGUAAGCCCUCGACAUCGCUCACCCCUCCCCCUCGCUCACACCGUGGGAGGUGCCGGGAGGUCCUUCGAGGACACUCGGCCCUUCUCAUUCCAUCCAUAGCAUGGCAUUUGUUUAAACAGAGCGUGAGAAUGGAAGGGAGGGAGAGAUGGACACACAACUGCUCCUCCUUUCCUACCCAGGAGGCUUCACGGCUUUUCCUGCUGUAACCUUACCCCUACCCCAUAAACCUCAGCUCCGGAGACCAGUCUCAGAAACGCACUCUGUACAAGGGCUGAGGUUAGCUGUGCUGCUCCGGUGCUGUUCUCAGCAUCCUUGGGAGGGGAGCACAUAGCACCCUCAAGUGAUGUGCUGCCCCUGUCUCCUCUUCUACUUGCUGAGGCCAAGGCUCAGAGAAGCGUGAAUGGCCUGAGCUCACAGACCCAAUAGAGGAGCCGAGGCUCAGGUCCAAGUCCUCUUACCACCCUCUAGCUCAGACUUUUUGCCUUUGUCCUCGGCUUUCUUGGCCACAGAACCCUGGCUUCCACGUCCUCCCUGUGCUCAGUCCUCCUGCCAAAUUCUCCCCAAUUCCCACAGUGUUUGAGCUGACUGUCUUCGACGAGACUUGCCAGUUUUAACAGCGUAUUAUCAUCAUUUAUACAACACGGGGCAUGCAAGCAGAGUUUUGGGGGGUUUUGGUUUUUUUUUUUUUUUUUUUUUUUGCUCCUUGGCACUGUGUCUCCCAUGGUGCCACUUGUGAGGUCUGCCAUCUGCAGACAAGAAGCAGGAGGUGCCUCUGACGAGAGCUGUUGGGAAUCAAGGAUGUUCUGGAGUACACAUUUGCUGACAGUCAGAGCUGAGAACGAUGGGUUCCUGGGUUUGUUAAAUUCGAGCAGAUCCCUGCUCGGUCCUGCCCAUCUGUCCACCCCCCACCCCACACGUCUGCGCCUCAACCUCCCAGGACCUCUGCUGCUCAGGAGUUGCGAGUGUCACACUUUUGUCAGAAUUCUUGUUCAAUCUGUUUCCUGUUGGCAGAGUUGAAGCUUCCACGGAUCCUUGACGGCAGAUGGCAGGGCUACCUCUGCCUCAUUUCCCUCCACAGUCACACCGAAAGAUCAUCUUGAUGUCAGCUGUUCUUGAAUGACACAGACUGACACACCACACGGACUUCAAAACGCUGUGUGAAAUGCUCUCCUAGGCUGUUAAUCCUGCCAGGAAUGCCCACUCCCCUGUCCUUCUGUCUGUCAAAUCCCUCUGUCUGUCUCUGUAAGGGUCUGAAAAUCUUGAUGAAUGAAGACCCCAGACUCAGAUAGUAUUCAAAAUCAAAGAGUGUUUAUUCUGCAGAAAUAUCCAACAUGCUGGGGAGGGAGAUCAACCAUUCUCUAAAAUGGCGGCCAUAGACAAAGGCGCAUAGGCAGGCCUUCAUAUAGGGAACCAGAGGAACUCUGUCGGAUUAGGUAAUCU